AUUGAACGCUGGCGGAAUGCUUUACACAUGCAAGUCGAACGGCAGCACGGACUUCGGUCUGGUGGCGAGUGGCGAACGGGUGAGUAAUGUAUCGGAACGUGCCCAGUCGUGGGGGGUAACGUAGUGAAGAUUACGCUAAUACCGCAUACGAUCUAUGGAUGAAAGCGGGGGAUCGCGAGACCUCGCGCGAUUGGAGCGGCCGAUAUCAGAUUAGGUAGUUGGUGGGGUAAAGGCCCACCAAGCCAACGAUCUGUAGCUGGUCUGAGAGGACGACCAGCCACACUGGAUCUGAGGCACGGUCCAGACUCCUACGGGAAGCAGCAGUGGGGAAUUUUGGACGAUGGGCGAAAGCCUGAUCUAGCCAUUCCGCGUGCAGGAUGAAGGCCCUCGGGUUGUAAACUGAUUUUGUACAGAACGAAAAGGUUUCUACUAAUACUAGGAGCUCAUGACGGUACUGUAAGAAUAAGCACCGGCUAACUACGUGCCAGCAGCCGCCGUAA
rnacentral:rRNA from 1 species